rnacentral:rRNA from 1 species
GACGAACCGUGCGAACGUUAUUCGGAAUCAUUGGGCUUAAAGCGCGUGUAGGCGGUUCCGCAAGUCAGGUGUGAAAGCCCAGGGCUCAACCCUGGAAGUGCACUUGAUACUACGGAGCUUGAGUACUGAAGAGGAGAGCGGAAUUCCCGGUGUAGAGGUGAAAUUCGUAGAUAUCGGGAGGAACACCAGUGGCGAAGGCGGCUCUCUGGGCAGAUACUGACGCUGAGACGCGAAAGCAUGGGGAGCAAACAGG